GAUGAACGCUGGCUACAGGCUUAACACAUGCAAGUCGAGGGGAAACGACGGGGAAGCUUGCUUCCCCGGGCGUCGACCGGCGCACGGGUGAGUAACGCGUAUCCAACCUGCCUCUGACUGAGGGAUAACCCGUCGAAAGUCGGCCUAAUACCUCAUGGCAUCGUCUGCGGGCAUCCAACGACGAUUAAAGAUUUCAUCGGUCAGGGAUGGGGAUGCGUCUGAUUAGCUAGUUGGCGGGGUAACGGCCCACCAAGGCGACGAUCAGUAGGGGUUCUGAGAGGAAGGUCCCCCACAUUGGAACUGAGACACGGUCCAAACUCCUACGGGAGGCAGCAGUGAGGAAUAGUGGUCAAUGGGCGAGAGCCUGAACCAGCCAAGUAGCGUGCAGGAUGACGGCCCUAUGGGUUGUAAACUGCUUUUAUGCGGGGAUAAAGUGAGGGACGUGUCCUUCAUUGCAGGUACCGCAUGAAUAAGGACCGGCUAAUUCCGUG
rnacentral:rRNA from 1 species